UACGUAGGGUGCGAGCGUUGUCCGGAAUUACUGGGCGUAAAGAGCUCGUAGGUGGUUUGUCGCGUUGUCCGUGAAAACUCACAACUCAAUUGUGGGCGUGCGGGCGAUACGGGCAGGCUGGAGUACUGCAGGGGAGACUGGAAUUCCUGGUGUAGCGGUGAAAUGCGCAGAUAUCAGGAGGAACACCGGUGGCGAAGGCGGGUCUCUGGGCCGAUACUGACGCUGAGGAGCGAAAGCGUGGGGAGCGAACAGG
rnacentral:rRNA from 1 species